GCCGCGGUGGAUCAUGGUGAAUCGUCGCUGUUACGUCGGGUAGAAUACUGCCAGUACUGCGUAGACAAGGGGAAGGCGGGGGUUCGAAUCCCUCUCGAGGCA